GGGGAUGUAGCUCAGUCUGGGAGAGCGCUGCCUUCGCAAGGCAGAGGUCGGGGGUUCGAUUCCCCUCAUCUCCA
rnacentral:tRNA from 1 species